GACGAACGCUGGCGGCGUGCUUAACACAUGCAAGUCGAGCGGUAAGGCCCUUUCGGGGGUACGACGAGCGGCGAACGGGUAGGAGUAACACGUGGGUGACCUGCCCUCCAGCUCUGGGAGUAAGCCUGGGAAACCGGGGUCUAAUACUGGAUAUGACUCCAUGACGCAUGUUGGUGGGGUGGAAAGCCUUGUGCGGCUGAGGAUGGGCCCGCGGCCUAUCAGCUUGUUGGUGGGGUGAGGCCUACCAAGGCGACGACGGGUAGCCGGCCUGAGAGGGCGACCGGCCACACUGGGACUGAGACACGGGCCCAGACUCCUACGGGAGGCAGCAGUGGGGAAUCUUGCGCAAUGGGCGAAAGCCUGACGCAGCGACGCCGCGUGAGGGAUGACGGCCU
rnacentral:rRNA from 1 species